ACGUAGGGGGCCAGCGUUGCUCGGAAUUACUGGGCGUAAAGGGUCCGUAGGCGGUGUGGCAAGUCGGAAGUGAAAUCUCUGGGCUUAACCCAGAGGCUGCUCCCGAAACUGCCGUGCUAGAGGAUGAGAGAGGCAAGUGGAAUUGCGGGUGUAGCGGUGAAAUGCGUAGAUAUCCGCAGGAACAUCCGAGGCGAAAGCGGCUUGCUGGAUCAUUUCUGACGCUGAGGGACGAAAGCUAGGGGAGCAAACAGGAUUAGAUACCCUGGUAGUCCUAGCCCUAAACCAUCAGGACUUGGGGUUUGCCCUGUACGGGGCAAGUCCCGUAGCUAACGCGUUAAGUCCUGCGCCUGGGGAGUACGGUCGCAAGGCUG
rnacentral:rRNA from 1 species